rnacentral:rRNA from 1 species
UACGGAGGGUGCGAGCGUUGUCCGGAAUCACUGGGCGUAAAGGGCGCGUAGGCGGCGGGGUAAGUCGGGUGUGAAAUCUCAGGGCUCAACCCUGAAACUGCACUUGAUACUGCUCUGCUUGAGGACUGGAGAGGAGACUGGAAUUCACGGUGUAGCAGUGAAAUGCGCAGAUAUCAGGAGGAACACCGAUGGCGAAGGCAGGUCUCUGGGCCACUACUGACGCUGGAGGCGACGGAAGCCGUGGGGGAGCAAACAGG